CUGGGUAAUGCCUCCUCGUCGCUUCUCGCUGCGGAGAGCAGGUGUCUCAUGUCGCAGGCAGAAGGCGCCGUUUAGAAAGACAAGACAAAGUCAUUUAACUGAGGCGAUGGAUCAGGUCACCAGCACAGCUCUGCCUCGUCUCCUCUCAGCAUUUGUUCCUGCUUGAAUGCUUCGGUUUUAAAGUGUAAUGGGAAAAGAAUUGAAGCUAGAGGUGCAUGAGGGGAACUGAGAUUCCAUCGCUUCCAUUUCCUUCUCCAGUAGGAGGAAAGCCCCGUCACCCUGGGCUGAGUCCCAGCAGGAGGACGUCUCAUCCUGCACCUCUGAAGGAGAGGGUUAAAGCUGCUGGGGUUGGCCCUGCUGAGUGCUACGGAAAAAGAAGCUCCAGUUAAGGGAUGGGGACUCCACCGCCUCCCUGGGCAGCCUCUGCCAGGGCCUGAGAACCCUUUCCAUGAAGAAAUCUUUCCUGAUGUCCAAUCUGAACCUGCCCUGGUGCAACUUGAGGCCAUUCCCUCUCAUCCCAUCCUCUGUCAGUUGGGAGAAGAGACCAAAUCAAAUAUAAACCUCCAAGUGUGUCGUUCCUGUUGUGCUAAAAGUAAUGCCAGGCUGAACAACCCCAACUCUCAGCCUGUCCUCAUAUGGGAGGUUCUCCAGCCCUCAGAUCAUCUCCAUGGCCUGCUCUGGAUUUGUUUGCAGAGCUCCCUGUCCUUCAUGUGCUGAGGACUCCAGAACCGGAUGCAGGGAUCCAGUGACUCCUGGGCGCCCGCUGACCUCUCAGCACUGGUGAUGGAUCCCACACGUCCGCAGCUUGAAUCCACCGCGCACAGGACAUCUCGCAUCCAACAUUAAACACAGCCUGGAUCCUCCCAAGCAGUGACCACACCACCUGCAGCACCAUGAGGGCUACGGUGAGUUUCUCAUGGAAAUCAGCUCAACCUGUCUGCAGCCCAGCAAGCAGAGAAGCACGAGAACAGAAACUCCAGACUACCAGAAUUAAUAACAGAUGUGCCCGUAUGGACGGCUGUUCUGGCUCGGCUGACAUACGGCAUCGUGUUGAACCCGACCCCGUGGCUGAGCUCCAAGAUCAAGUCGCGCUGUGUCCAAGCUGGCUAUCAGGGUUGAUCACCCACUCCCGUGGGCUGACUCAGAUCUCCCUGCCUGACACACCAUGACAGAAGCAGGACUGAGAUGUUGUGUGAGAUAAACCGCAUCGUGUCUCGCCUGUCACUGUGAAACAAGAGUCUACCCUAAGAUGUACCUGUACCAGGCACGUGGUGUGUGGAGACCCUGCGGAAACACAGUGUAACUGAUAGGGGUGUUUCUACUGUCUUUACCAUUCAUCUAAAGUCAGUACAGAGUGACACAGAAUCACGGAAUGGUUUGGGUUGGAAGGGACCUCAAAGCCCACCCAGUCCCGCUCCCUGCCAUGGGCAGGGACACCUCCCACUGGAUCAGGGGCUCCAAGCCCCAUCCAACCUGGCCUGGAACCCCUCCAGGGAUGGGGCAUGCGCCCUAUGGUACAUGUAUCUGGGGUGGUCCUCCACCCUGUGCUUCUUGUUUGUGGGUGCAUGAGCCAAGGCCAUUAUCUCCUGGGCUGGUGAACCUUUGGGAGGUAGCUCUUUAGUGCAGUUGUACUCCAUAGCAUCAAAAUACAGGUGACUUCCUCCUUUAUUAGCACUCAUUUGUGCAUCAUGGGCUUCCCGUAGCUCUCGACAUAAAUCAGGCAAAGCCCUCUCAAGUAGGUACAGGAUCCAUCUUCACAGAGUCAUAGAUUAAUGGAAUGGGUUAGGUUCGAAAGGACCUUAAAGAUCAUCCUGUUUCAACCCCACUCCCACUGGAUCAGGGGCUCCAAGCCCCAUCCAACCUGGCCUGGAACCCCUCCAGGGAUGGGGCAGCCCCCACUGCUCUGGGCAUCCUGGGCCAGGGCCUCCCCACCCUCAGCGUGAAGAAUUUCUUCCUAAUGUCUCAUCUAAAUCUGCCCCCUUCCAAUUUAGAGCCAUUCCCCCUCACCGUAUCGCUCCAGCUUCUUGGGAAAAGCCCCUCCCCAGCUUUUGUGGAGCCCCUUUCAGCACUGGAAGUUGCUCUAAGCAUUCCCCGGUGCCUUCUCUUCUCCAGGUCACACAAGCCCAGGUCCCCCAGCCGGUCCC